AUGGCAACAAUCUCCUGCCAUGAAGAAAUGGGUUGGCCAUCUAUUGAAGUGCAAAUGCGAGAUGUUGAAGCAUUGGGAAGACAAAAUGAACCUGUGCUCAAUCAUAGUGCUACAUCCAAGGAAAAUUCCACUGGCUCCACUUUGCGGUCUCAUUCCUGUUCCCGACAAAAAGAAGAAGAUACCAAGAGAGGUGAAGGUUGCUAUUGUGCAAUCAUUGAGAAAGCAUGUGUGAGCCGGAAACAAUGGCAUGAUAACAUCUUUGUGCAAGAGCCCGCAGCUACAAGUCGGCGACAACCUGCUUUGGACGUUCAAUGGAGCCAAUGGUACAGCGGACAUCAUGCUUGUGUGUCACAUCGCCACCAGCAUCCUUGA
rnacentral:rRNA from 1 species